UUCUUCUCUUCUUAGUUUCACAUCUGACUCUCAAGCCGCCGUCUCAGAAACCAUCGCCACCUUAAAAUCGUGGAAUCUGAUGUUGAUGAUCAACGGCAUCAAAUCAGUCAGCAUAAUGAUUUCUCCUCUCAAACAAAUAAAGUCAGCGGUAAUUGAUCUGAGGGAAGUGCCGAUAACAGAACGAGCAAUUCACCAAACUUAAUUCUGCUCACUCCAAUCCAAGUUUUGUAAGAUCUUUGAAAGACAAGAUCAAGGAAGGAGAUAAGAUGCAGCGAUGUGGUUUGCUACCAGAAGCUUCCAAAAGAUCAUUUGUCUUCUUUAUCUCAUACUGCCUCCAGGUUCUCUGAUAUCCUCUGUCUCAAAAGCCGCCGCCAUGAUGUUGAUGAUCAACAAUAGCACCAGAUCACUCAGCACAAUGAUCUCUCCUCAAAGACGUUUUUUUGCUGUUUUGGUAAAAAUAGGGUGACGUUGAGCGGUUGAGGUGUCUAAGAAGCUUCAUUGACCAGACUUAUGCUUCACUCAUCGAACCAAGAGUUCUAUCACCAGUUUUAAGGUCUCGUCAACAAGGCCGUAAAAACUGAGUGACCAAGAAGAUAUUAUGGGGAUGCAACCCUUGAUAUAUGUUUUCAAAUGGUGCGGUUUGCUGAUGGCGGCAAACAUGGGCUCUCUUCUUCUUGAUUCAAUUGCAAUGCUAAUGUGCUCAGGAACUUCGUGAUCAUCAAUUUCUUUGCAUUCUGUUCUCGCCUUCAUGUACCUUGAAAGAGGCUUCUAAAGAACAAGUUGAGACUUCAUCGCAAAAUAAAAAAGCCUAUUGAGAAUUGAAUUUUGUGACUGAUUGUGUUAAAUUGAAUACUGAUGGAAUACUUGUAAUCAUCUUGCACGUACCGGUGGAAUACAUGGAUCAUUGCAGCCUUCGCAAAACACGUUUCCACCAUGGCAGCAACAUGGCAGAAUUAUGGGCCAUUAUACAAGGUUCGCUUUUAGCAGAUAGUCUAGGAAUUACAAUGUUUCACGGUGAAUCUUAUUUAUAUUAUCAGUCCUGGAAACGGGCUCUGUGAGGUGUCCUUGUUUUUUGUUUACAUUCUGAAAGAUAUUGUUGCGGAGGAUAUUACGGGACAUUAAAGAAGGUUCCAUUUUGCUCAUCUGGUUGUGUUAGUCAUGUAUGAUUCCAUAUCCUCCUGAUGAUGUCGAUGAUAAUUACUGCAUCCAUUAAUUCAGAUCAUAUUUUAAUGAAAUGGUAUGAGAAUUAUU